GGAAGGACUAGACCCGCAAAUAUCCCACCUGACGUCAGAGCGCGCGGAUCCUUCCCUUCGGGUCGGGUCACCGCGCGGGUCAGGCCUGGGAAAACGGCGCCAUUUUGAAUGUUAUUUAAAACAAAAUUCUCCCUUAAAAAAACAUUUGAAACAGAGUAAAAGAAAAAAAAAUAAAAAAAAACACUCAAAGGUCCUCUGGUGCUCUGCUAGGGUUUCGCCCCUAGCGUCAUCGCGCCAUCCCUCGGCCCACGCCGGCGCUCCGACCACGACGGAGAUGGCCACCGGUCCGGCGUCCUCGGCGAAUGAGGUAAGUUUUUUUGUUAUUUCUUUUUUAAAAAAACGCAAAAGAAAAUAAAAUAUAUAAAUAAAAUAAAAUAAAAUAAAAAUGCUAGAACCCGAUUCACCUUGAAUCAAAAACAAUCUGAUUUUUCCAAAGUUUUUUUUCUAUUUCUUUCGUAUUCUCUCUGUGUAUUUUCGUUAAUACCAUCCCCCCUUUACAUGUUAAAAAUAGCCUUUUAUAGGCCGAAGAAAGAAAAAAAAACAAUAUUGUUUGCUGUUUUUUCUCUUUGGACUCCUUGGGUCCGUUUUUCAGGUGUUCGUGGAGAGUUUGGCGCUCAUGGAGAGGGGUUGGCCCCGAAUCGUGCGGCGCUUGGAGAGGCUGCUGAAGGCUGUUGCGGCGCUAAGGCAGAUGCGGCUGGAGAGGGGAGUCUGCCUAGGGUUUGGGUUGAUUUAUUUUUUUGCUGGGCUAGGAGUUGUUUUGGGCUUGUAUUUUGGUUUUAGUGGCCCGGGCAAUUUGGGCUUUGUACAACAAGUACAUGUGACAUUCUUCCCUAAAUUAUAUGACAUGUUUAUCAUACAUAUGCAUGAACAC
rnacentral:lncRNA from 1 species